AUUCUAAGGCGCUUGAGAGAACUCAGGAGAAGGAACUCGGCAAAUUGACACCGUAACUUCGGAAGAAGGUGUGCCUUUAGUAGGUGAAGGGAUUUACUCCUGGAGCCCAAUGAGGUAGCAAAAAAUCGGUGGCUGCGACUGUUUAUUAAAAACACAGCACUCUGCAAACACGAAAGUGGACGUAUAGGGUGUGACGCCUGCCCGGUGCUGGAAGAUUAAAUGAUGGGGUGCAAGCUCUUGAUUGAAGUCCCAGUAAACGGCGGCCGUAACAAUAACGGUCCUAAGGUAGCGAAAUUCCUUGUCGGGUAAGUUCCGACCUGCACGAAUGGCGUAACGAUGGCCACACUGUCUCCUCCUGAGACUCAGCGAAGUUGAAAUGUUUGUGAUGAUGCAAUCUCCCCGCGGAAAGACGGAAAGACCCCAUGAACCUUUACUGUAGCUUUGUAUUGGACUUUGAACAGAUCUGUGUAGGAUAGGUGGGAGGCUUUGAAGUAGGGUCGCUAGAUCUUAUGGAGCCAACGUUGAAAUACCACCCUGGUGUGUUUGAGGUUCUAACCUAGGUCCAUUAUCUGGAUCGGGGACAGUGCAUGGUAGGCAGUUUGACUGGGGCGGUCUCCUCCCAAAGCGUAACGGAGGAGCUCGAAGGUACGCUAGUUACGGUCGGACAUCGUGACGAUAGUGCAAUGGCAUAAGCGUGCUUAACUGCGAGACUGACAAGUCGAGCAGAUGCGAAAGCAGGACAUAGUGAUCCGGUGGUUCUGUAUGGAAGGGCCAUCGCUCAACGGAUAAAAGGUACUCUGGGGAUAACAGGCUGAUACCGCCCAAGAGUUCAUAUCGACGGCGGUGUUUGGCACCUCGAUGUCGGCUCAUCUCAUCCUGGGGCUGUAGCCGGUCCCAAGGGUAUGGCUGUUCGCCAUUUAAAGAGGUACGUGAGCUGGGUUUAAAACGUCGUGAGACAGUUUGGUCCCUAUCUUCCGUGGGCGCUGCAGAUUUGAGGAAGCCUGCUCCUAGUACGAGAGGACCGGAGUGGACACACCUCUGGUGUAUCGGUUGUCACGCCAGUGGCAUUGCCGAGUAGCUAAGUGUGGAAGAGAUAACCACUGAAAGCAUCUAAGCGGGAAACUCGUUUCAAGAUGAGAUCUGCCGGGGCCUUGAGCCCCCUAAAGAGUCGUUCAAGACCAGGACGUUGAUAGGUCAGGUGUGGAAGCGCAGUAAUGCGUUAAGCUAACUGAUACUAAUUGCUCGUGCGGCUUGACCU
rnacentral:rRNA from 1 species